GGUGCGUGAGGGGAGGUGGCCUGUGGUGCGUUUGCAGAAAUCAUAACACAUAAGACGUGAUCGACCUCUGUUCAGUAUC
rnacentral:pre_miRNA from 1 species